UUAUCCAUUGGCUUACAUUCGGCUCGUCUUGCCUUCGUCGUCUUACCACUGGAGUCACCCGAACUCCGCCGUCUUGACUACCGAGAUCGUGAUUCCCUGGACCGUUGCCGUCUAAACGGUCCCCAAUCACGCCCAUCUCAUCGUCGUCGUCUUCUUCUCGUGCACCGUGUUCCCCCUCUAAGCGUACCGCAGCCAGCAAUCGCGCUACCAGCUCGCGCUUUCUACCCGCUAAUCUCAGCCGUCGUCUUCUCAGCUCGUCUUUCAACUCAGGUAUUUGCAUCUGAGCCACCUGCUCGUCAGUCAAAACUGCUUCACCUGCAUUGUAGUCACUCAUCGUUCCGAAAUAUCACUUUCACUUGUCACUCAGCGCUCUAGAUCCCGG
rnacentral:misc_RNA from 1 species